AUUGAAACACCAGUUCCCAUACGAUCACUAAAGUUAAGAAAUGUCGACCCUGGUCAGUACCUAGAUGAGUGAUCGCUUGGGAUUACCAGAUGGUGUAAG